CCACAAGUAAAGCAAGUGUUCUCCACAAACACACAGUAACCUCCACAUCUUUCGCAUGUGCCCAGCAAAGAGAUGUGGCCUAAUGCUGUAAUUGUAUGGUGCUUUCACAAGGAUCCUGAUAUCCUACUUAUUUUCUAGGGUGCUCAGGCAGAUUCCUGGAGACCAAAUUUGAAUGUGGUCUUGGGCAAAGGUAACCAAGGAGGUCCUGCCACCUCCAAAUGCACAGAUCAAUCAGUAGAUUUCCCUUGGCAUUCUCACCCCCACUCCAUGAUAUGAAUGCCUCCGUAUCAGAAAGGAUUUCAUCCUAGGUGAUGUACUCUUUCUGAGUGGGGUUUUGGCAAGAAUAAGCUCAAACAGAGCAUAGAAGGAAUUAUUCUGUAAAGACUUGUGUGAUUAUUGAGGUCCUGACCAGGACAGUAAGCAUAGGAAUGUUUGCAGGUGUGCAUCAGACAGAAGUUCAAUUAUGGGGACAGGACUGUCACCCUAUCUUCAUCACAGCAUUCAGCGAAGAUCCUAGAUUCAUUCAGAGGUUUAUGGGGGCACCAAAAUGCUCAUUGACUCUAUACUGACAACCUCUUUUCUGUGUUUUUUUCUAGAUUUCCUUGAACAAAGGAUAAGGAUUUUCCAAGCCUGGGACUGGAACUUCAUGCAAAUGUCAGCUUCCCUUAAAGACAGAUGUGGGAUACCAAGAAGACUAUGGACAGAACUUCUUGCAAAUGUCAGGUUUCCAUUCAAGACAGUGACAUUUCUCCUCUUUGUCUGUGAAGUACCUCCAGGAAUCAUGUAAUGAAGAAAGUAGGCUCACCAAGCAAACAAGGUUCCCUUGACAAAAGAUGCAAGAUGCAAGCAGCCUGUGCACAGAACCUCUGGCAAAUGUCAGGUAAGAAUCAGGGUGCUGGUACCAUGUUGGGACCAAGUGGUCCUCCAUGUGCAAGUAGAUGUCAGGAG
rnacentral:lncRNA from 1 species